AUUUUUCUUCAUAAAAGAUCCCCCUUCAGCCAGCGCGAUUAAGACCUUUGCAAGUCACCAAGGGAAAGGGUUCUCUACUGCGGAUCACAGGACUUUGAACAUGUUUCAGAAAGCUGUUAUAUUACUGGCCUUAGCCGUCUGUUUCGUCCAGUCUCGACCAGAAGGAGAAUUUCCUUCAUUUUCAAAUUUGGCCAAAAGAGUUGCGGUUCUGGAGAAGAAAGUGUUUCAGCGCUUCUACAAUUAUCCGUGUAACCAUUUCAGUGGAACAUGCUUGACAAAAUGUGGGACUGACCAAUAUCAUUAUAUCAGUGGUACAUGCGAAUGGGGGAAAAUAUGUUGCCGCCAGAGCAAUUAAGACUGCGAAAGAGACGAGAAGCCAAAAGGUGCAAACUUCAAGUGAGCUCACUGUAGAAGGAUAACUACUAAAAAACAAGUGAUGUAAUUUGAUGCCAAAUAAACUGUGUGGGUAAAUGA